GGGAGCACUAGGCCAGAAGAAAGAGGAAGGAAGGCCUCCUCCGUCGAGCUCCACCACCGUCGUCUCCUCCGUUGAGCUCCACCGCUGCCGGAGCUUGGUGAGGUCCCUCGCCGGUGCUGCCGCAUCCCCCGAUUCGUCCUCUCCCUCUGCAUCCCCGAUUUCUCCUCUAAUCUUCUCCCUUGAGACCACCGCCAGCUCUAGAUCGAUGGGGAGACGGGAUUCCCUUCGUCUUCCAUAUGUAUCGGGACUCAGGAACUGGGUCGAUCACGAUGAGAGAAGAGCAGGGGAUGGACCGGGGAGCACCGGGCCAGAAGAAAGAGCAAAAGGGCCCGAAAGAGGAAGGAGAGACAGGAUGGGCUAGAAAAAUAUGAGAUGGGUUGCUGUUGAAUUGUAAAAAAUAAAAAUAAAAAGUUAAAUGGGCCCGGCCGGGCCAUGGGCUCAAGGUCAAGGCCCAGGCACGGCCCGAGGCUGGUCGCGGGCCGGCACGGCCCAUUUAUUAUCGUGCCGGGCUGAGGCCGCAACGGACCAGGCACAGUGGGCUCGCAGGGUUCUUGAGAAAGCCCGUCCCGAUGCGUCAUGCACUCGCAACGCCUCCUUCCCUGAUCCGUCUCCUCCUCCCACACGGCCCGUCGUGCUCGCACGCCUCGUCUCCCGAUCUCGCACACGGGAGGCUUCCUCGCAGCACAUCAAACAUACUAACAUAUUUUUUAUAUGGGCUAAAAAUUAUGGAAUAUGAAAUGAUAUCACAAAAAGUGUUUUGGUAAACUGAAUUAACGUUUGUUCGAUCAGAAAGUUCGGUAACUGCUAGAGUUGCUCUCAAUCCGUAGCAACUUACGUGCAGAAGACACCAUUUUUGAAAAAUUAAUCUAGCAUGUUUUUCUAUUUCUUUUGUUCUUUGGUAGCAACGCACAGGGCUUUGUGCUAGUAUAAAAAAAUUAUGUGUACGGUCAGGUAUUUACAUAAGGAAAAACAAAAACUAAGACUUCUUAUAUUUAGGAACGAGUACCUACGACAUCUGUACCAACACGUUGAGCAUGAAAUAUAUUUUCAUAGUGUAUUUAAUUGGUGUAGUAGGUGUUUUUACCAAUAUACAUGAUUAAACUCUCAAAGUUUAACUUAGGAUAAGAUAAAUGCAUUCAUUUGUCGGAACGACGUGUAUGCAUAUACAACAACUGAAAUUCUUCAGAGGCACAGACUGAUUACUGAAAUUUCUCCUCCGAAAGAACACACCCUGAGAAACAGUUCAGAGCUUGUCAGCAGCCUGCACUUCAUCGACGCCCCCAACCGUCUUCCAGAACCAAUUAGCAGAUUGGUUCUGCCUGUGGACCAGAUCACAGAUCUCCCUGUGGCAUAAGCAAUUGAAAAUAUCUUCUUGGAGUAAUCAGCAGUGGUGCUGUGCUCCUCUGUUUGACCAUGUUUUACCAGAUAAUAAUAAAAAAGAGGGAAUAGAAAAUGAACGUUCGCUAUCUAUUCUUUCGGUACAAAAGGGUAAACUUGUCAUCCGUACGAGACACGAGACGUGGUCCCAUGUACAGUUUUUCUAGUCGGAUGGUCAGUAGAGCGUUCGCUCCGAAAGACUAAAGAACGAACGUUUGCUCAUUAUAAACUCCGAUAAAAAUAUCAUCAUUUACAAUACAAAUCUAUACCAAUAUGUUUACAAUUGAAUAUUAAAAAAACUAAAAUAUAAUCUCCUGGAACGUAGGGACGUGUAAAUGGAGUACUACACAAUAACUGAAAUUCCUUGGAGGGGACUGAUUACUGAAAUCUCUACUGAGAAACAGUUUCAGAGCUUGUCAGCAGCCUGUACAUGAUCGACGCCCACAACCCGCUUCCAGAACCAAUGCUUUCCCCAGACCAUCCCAAUCUGCUCGAUCGGUAUCCCCUUGGUCUCCGGCAAGAAGAAGUAGGCGAACGCCGUCAUGGCGGCGAUCCAGCCGGCGAAGAAGAAGAAGAUCCCCGCCUUCAUCCUGCAGAGCAUGGCGAGGAAGCACUGCGCGACGAAGAUGGUGAACACGAACCCGGACGCCACUGUGACGCUCUGCCCCGCGGACCGCACCUCCAGCGGGAAGAUCUCGCUCGGCACCAGCCAGCUCAGCGGGCCCCAUGACCAGCCGAAACCAGUGGAGUAGACACCAAUGAGGACGAUGAGGACGACCGCGUAAGUCCUGCUGAGCGCGCCCUGGUCGCCGAGCUUGGCCGCCAUGACUGCCCCGAUGAGCACCUCGGAGACGAGCAUCUGGACGCCCCCCACGAUCAGCAGCGUGCGGCGCCCGAAGCGGUCGACCAGGAACAUGGAGGCGAGGGUGGAGGCCGAGGAGACGACCACCAUGGCGACGGUUGCGAGCAGCGCGGCGCUCUCGCGCAUGCCGAUGGUGCGCAGCAGCGCCGGCAGGUAGAACCCGAUGGCGUUGAUCCCCGUCAGCUGCGUCAAGGACGGGAUCAGCACCGCCAUGGCCAGCUGCGGCCUGUACUGCCGCCGCGUCAGGAACACGCGCAGCCCGUUGCUGUCGCCGUUAGCCAUGGCGUCGUUCGCGGCCACGAUGUCGUCCAGCUCUUCGUCCACGGCGUCGACGCCUCUGAUUCUCUGCAGCAGCGAUCUCACCUCGCUGAUGUCUUUCUUCCCUUGUUGGACGAGGCUGUUGGGCGUCUCGGGCAGGAAGAAGGCGCCGACUGUGAGCAGCAGGGCGGGGAAGGCGGCCAGGGAGAGAGACAGCCGCCAGCCCCAGCCGGCCUCGAUCUUCUCGGCGCCGUAGUUGACGACCGUGGCGAAGAGCGCGCCGAGGCAGAGGCUGAACUGGAACCCGUUGCUGAAGGCGCCCCUGUGCCGCGCGGGCGCCAUCUCUGACAGGUAGAGCGGCACGGCCUGGUUGGCGAAGCCGAGCCCGACGCCGAGCAGGGCGCGGCCGAGGAUGGCCAUCGAGACGUUGGCGGCGCCGCCGCUGACGGCCGCGCCGAAGAGGUAGGCGACGCCGCCGAGGAUCAUGGACGGGCGCCGCCCGUGCCGCUCCGUGAACCAGGAGGCGACGAGGACGGCUGUGAGGAGCCCCGAGAUGUAGAGCGAGGAGGUGAAGAGCGUGAGAAGCUGGCUGUCGAACUUGCAGUAGUUGCUGCUGCUGCCGCCAUGGUUGGCUGAGUUCGUUUGCAUCCGGUGGUGCACGUCCGGGAAGAAGUCCCGCAGGAAGGGAUCCAUGGAUGAAACCCCGCCUGCUGUCCCGAUGUCGUAGCCGAAGAUGGCGCCGCCCACCGCCGCCGUGAGGCAGGACAGCGCCACGAACGCCGUGACCCGGCCGGCGUACUGGUGCCGCUGGCCCUCGCCGCCGCCGGCGACGAAACCGACGGCCAUGUUGUCGAGUAGAGUGGGAACUAGGAGCUUGGUGGCUUGGUGCUAGCUACUAGCUCAAUGUGAUGAUGGAUCCAUCGAUGAUCUUAUCGUCGUUCUUCCAGGACCAGGAAGGAUGCUUAAGCUUAGUCAAAGACUGCGCGAAGCUUGAUGUGCCCCUUCUGUUUGGAGCUUAGCUCCACGGGCCAUGCUUCCUGAUUUGCUUGUUUUGAUUAUCAGGCCGCCGCUAGCACAGCACAGAUCUUCCACACAAGAUGGUUGACUACUUGACUUUUCUGGCAGUGUAGCAAUCAACUAGCUUAGCACGUGCUGGUGUGGCUUGUGGAUACAGAAUUACGGCCAGCACGUACGUUCGUGUCCAAUCGCGUGAACGAUAAUUUGCACUCAACAAGCUAGUAGACGUCACCGUUAAACUAACUUAACCAAUUAAAUCAUUAUCACGUUCGUAAUUAGUAGCGUAUGUAUCAUUAUCAGACGUCGCCAGCAGACGCCCGUAAUUAGUAGCGUAUGUAUCAUUAUCAGACGUCGCCAGCAAAAAUCCAAAUUUCUCAAUGAGAAACUAAUUUAGAUUGGCGCUCGUAAAACUGAAUUCGAUCGGACAGCAAGACGGACUCGGGUUCCACCGUCGACGAGCACGACUCGGAGGACCGUCUGGCUAGUAUCAUAAGAACGUGCCACAGGCGCACGCCUCGCCGACCCGAUCGACUAAUGGGUGCUGCCUUCUCCUCUGCCGCCGUCUCCAUCAGGAGCAGAGCAACGAAGAACAACAACCAACAGACGCUACUCGCCGCAUCGGACGCCGGCGCCGGCGCCGACGAUGACGAUCACUGGUCCGGCCUACCAGAGGACCUCCUACUCGUCGUCAUCAUGUCCUCCCUAGACGUCCCGAGCCUCGUCCGCUCCGGCGCCGUCUGCACCACCUGGCGCGCCGCCUACGCGGCAUUCCGAACCCUCCGCCUCCCAUCCCCGGCGCAGGGCCCGUGCAUGCUCUACGCCGCCGACAACGGCUCCGACGGAGGCGCAAUGUACAUGUACUGCCCCUCCACCAACGCCAAAUUCCGCGUCCCCUUCUUCCACUCGGAAGAACGGGGCGGACCCGGAUUCGUCUUCUCCGCCUCCGGCGCCUGGGUCUUCACCACGGACGAAGCCGGCGACCCGUUCCUCCUCAACCCUCUCACGGGCGCCCGCGCCUUGCUCCCGCCCGUCAGGACGCUCCCGGGCCUGGACGCCUUCUUCGACGCGCAGGGUGAUUCGACGGGGCCCGGCGGGCUGCCCGUGCGCGCCAAAGACUGGGCGUUCCGCCGCGUGGCCAUCGGCUCGGACGACGACAGGACACCACUCGUCAUGGUCGUUCACAUGCUGAACGAGAUGCUCGCCUUCGCGCGCCCCGGGGACGCCCGCUGGACGCCGCUCUCCGGCGUCGGGCCCCUGGUCGGCCAGCACCGCCGCUGCUUCAGCGACGUCGUGUACCACCGAAGCAGAGGACUGUUCUACGCGCUGCGCCGCGACGGGUCCGUCUACAACGUCGAUCUCCAUGGCCAUGGCGGCGGCAGGCGUUUGCCGGAGGUGAGGAAGAUCAUGCGUGAAGUGUCGGUGGUGUCAAGCGACGUCAAGUACCUCGCCGUAGCGCCGCGGGACGUCAAUGGCGGCGGAGGAGGGCUCCUGCAGGUGUGGAGGAUCUGGCACCACACGCACGGGCCCCUCGAGCACCGGCACACCUUCCAGGACUCCGUCCGCCGGAAGCUGGUCUUCCAAGACCGCCUAGACUGCAGCGAAGACGACGCCGACACCGGCAAUAUCAACGAGAUAGGCGACCACGAUGCUGACACGGAUGACGAGACGCCUAGCACCACUAGCACCUGUCUGGGGACUGCGGCGGGCAAGAGGAAGAAGAAGAAGCUGGGGAUUGCGACGAGCGAGGUGGUGGUGUUCAGGGUGGACGAGGGGAGGCAGAAGCUGGUGAAGCUGCGGGGGAUCGGCCGGGAGCACGCGCUGUUCGUCGGGAACAACUCCGGGGUGUGCCUGCCCACCAAGGACUUCCCGGCGUUCGAGCCCAACUGUGCCUACCUCACGGCCGACUCGAACGCGUACGGCGCCACGCUGCCGAUCGACAUGGGCGUGUGGAGCUUCGAGAAGAGGAGGAUGAGGGGGCAUGGCGCUGCCGCGUGGCCGGAGGAGCUGCGGCGUCGUCAGCCGAGGGCGGAGUAUUGGCCCGGUUCAUUGCCGGCUCCCGUUUGGAUCACGCCCUCUCUUUAGUAGGACCAACUGUGUACUAGACUUUUUUUUUUAAACAUAAACUAGAUAUAUAUUUAUUAAGCACCUACAAAAAAGUUUACAAAGGUAGUGUCAUAUUGCACCACAUGAAGCCAAGAAAAAAAAAAACUUCAGAUGACGAAGAAAACAACCAGCGAGUCUGAUGGCGGGUCAGGUGAGAAAUCCGGUGCACAACCACAGCAGCAGUUUUCAGGGAACUGAUGGCGGACCAGGUGAGAAAUCCGGUGCACAACCACAGCAGCAGUUUUCAGGGAACUCCCACGUGCGUGCCAGCCGUAGAGCCGGCGGCUCUCCCAGCAAUCGUGCGGACAAAAGCACUUGAGGUUGAGGACAAUUGGGCUGUAGAUCAGCAGGGAGCUUCACCGAGCCCAAAUUGCAAUCUCUUCCAUCAAACCUGAGGAUCAGACGAUGGCGCUCUCAUCCGCCAUCGGUGAAUCGACUCAGAUGGAUGAGAGUCAUCGCCUUCUGCUUGCUUAUUAUCUUGCCUUGGAUCCACGGCGCAAGACAAACACCAAGUAGAGUAGCACUCAUCCUCAACAGCUUCUUGCUCUAAAGGCCAAAGGAUGGAGGUAGCUAUCAUAUGAUGCUCAUCGGAGGACUCAUCAACUAGCUCGAUUUCCUUGUUAUUCCGACAGAAGCAAACAACAAUAGCCAGCUCUCCAUGGACGCAAAUAACAAACUGGAGCAUAGCAGAAGCGCAACAGGCCACGAAGUCCACUGCAGCCAAACCUGGAUUCCGGCCUCGACAAGAUCGACGAGCAGCAUCGCCGGGCGCCGAGUCACAGCAACUCCACGCGCAGUCGGCAGGUGGAACCACGGGCACAAAACCAACACUGCAUCUCCCAGUACCGGCGACAACCAAGAACUCGGAGAUGCACAAACACCAAAGAAAAAAGAGGGGAAGAACAGAUCUGAGAAAACUACUGCGAGGCCUUCUCCUCACCACACCCCCACCACCACGGCGGCGAUCUAGAGAGGAAAAGCUCGGAGCAGCAGAUCUGCAGGGAGCUUAUUUGCUAGGCCAUCUUGCUGAGGAAGAAGAACGGGAAGGCCAUCACCAGCGAUCUUGCGGGUGAGAGCCUCACCGUCUUCAAUCCCGAGCUUGUUGCCACCGGAGCUCCAAACCAGCAACCUCCAGACGACCGACGGCAUCACGCCACUGUACAUCGCACAUACCCUCCUCCCCCUCCCACUCCGGUCGGCGGCGCCGGUGGAGGAGAGAGGAAGGAGGGCAGGCGUCUCCAACCGACGGAGGGCGAACAAGGGAAACGAGAAGUUUCGGGAGUCUCGAAGAGCGGUGGGGAAAAGUAAGUUGUGUACUGCUCCCUCUAUUUCUCAAAGCUUUUGGACAAUUUUGUCCAUGGCUGGCCUGCGCGCAUGCACACCUCUUCGCAUUCUUUAUUCUUUUGCGCUGGAC
rnacentral:lncRNA from 1 species